CCUACGGGAGGCUGCAGUGGGGAAUAUUGGACAAUGGGGGCAACCCUGAUCCAGCCAUGCCGCGUGUGUGAAGAAGGCCCUCGGGUUGUAAAGCACUUUCAGUGAGGAAGAACGCUGGUGGUUAAUACCCAUCAGGAAAGACAUCACUCACAGAAGAAGCACCGGCUAACUCCGUGCCAGCAGCCGCGGUAAUACGGAGGGUGCGAGCGUUAAUCGGAAUUACUGGGCGUAAAGCGCGCGUAGGUGGCUUGAUAAGCCGGUUGUGAAAGCCCCGGGCUCAACCUGGGAACGGCAUCCGGAACUGUCAAGCUAGAGUGCAGGAGAGGAAGGUAGAAUUCCCGGUGUAGCGGUGAAAUGCGUAGAGAUCGGGAGGAAUACCAGUGGCGAAGGCGGCCUUCUGGACUGACACUGACACUGAGGUGCGAAAGCGUGGGUAGCAAACAGGAUUAGAUACCCGGGUAGUC
rnacentral:rRNA from 1 species